AUCCAGACUCCUACGGGAGGCAGCAGUGGGGAAUAUUGGGCAAUGGGCGCAAGCCUGACCCAGCAACGCCGCGUGAAGGAAGAAGGCUUUCGGGUUGUAAACUUCUUUUCUCAGGGACGAAGAAAGUGACGGUACCUGAGGAAUAAGCCUCGGCUAACUACGUGCCAGCAGCCGCGGUAAUACGUAGGAGGCAAGCGUUAUCCGGAAUGACUGGGCGUAAAGGGUGCGUAGGUGGUUUGACAAGUUGGUAGCGUAACUCCGGGGCUCAACCUCGGAUCUACUACCAAAACUGUUGGGCUUGAGUGCAGGAGGGGUGGAUGGAAUUCCUAGUGUAGCGGUGGAAUGCGUAGAUAUUAGGAGGAACACCAGCGGCGAAGGCGAUUCACUGGACUGUAACUGACACUGAGUCACGAAAGCGUGGGGAGCAAACAGGAUUAGAUACCCUUGUA
rnacentral:rRNA from 1 species